rfam:Picea glauca, whole genome shotgun sequence.
GAUUUAUUCACAUUUAUCUGCAUGUGAAAGUGAAGAAAUUCAACCAAGCAUGGGUAAACGGUGGGAGUAACUAUGAAUUUCUUAAGGUAUCCAUAUGCCUCAUCAUAUAAUUAGUGACGUGCAUGAAUGGAU